UGAUUUAGUUAAUAUCUGAGUGGCCUAGUGUUUUUCCCUACUUUCUUCAAUUUAAGCCUAAAUUUUGCAACAAGAAGCUCAUGAUCUGAGCCAUAGUCAGCUCCUGGUCUUUUUGUACUGUUUUUG